rnacentral:rRNA from 1 species
GGACGAACGCUGGCGGCGUGCCUAAUACAUGCAAGUCGAGCGAGACUCUUCGGAGUCUAGCGGCGGACGGGUGAGUAACACGUGGGCAACCUGCCUGUAAGACUGGGAUAACACCGGGAAACCGGUGCUAAUACCGGAUAAUCCUUUUCCUCUCAUGAGGAAAAGCUGAAAGUCGGUUUCGGCUGACACUUACAGAUGGGCCCGCGGCGCAUUAGCUAGUUGGUGAGGUAACGGCUCACCAAGGCGACGAUGCGUAGCCGACCUGAGAGGGUGAUCGGCCACACUGGGACUGAGACACGGCCCAGACUCCUACGGGAGGCAGCAGUAGGGAAUCUUCCACAAUGGACGAAAGUCUGAUGGAGCAACGCCGCGUGAGCGAUGAAGGCCUUCGGGUCGUAAAGCUCUGUUGUUAGGGAAGAACAAGUACCGGAGUAACUGCCGGUACCUGACGGUACCUAACC